CCCCCCGUAGCUUAAUGGACAAAGCAGUGCUCUUCUAAGGCAUUGAUAGGGGUUCGAUUCCCUUCGGGGGGA
rnacentral:tRNA from 1 species